rnacentral:rRNA from 1 species
GACAAGGGAGACGAGUGUCAAUCGGAAUAACUGGGCGUAAAGCGUGCGCAGGCGGUUUGCUAAGACCGAUGUGAAAUCCCCGGGCUUAACCUGGGAACUGCAUUGGUGACUGGCAGGCUAGAGUAUGGCAGAGGGGGGUAGAAUUCCACGUGUAGCAGUGAAAUGCGUAGAGAUGUGAAGGAAUACCGAUGGCGAAGGCAGCCCCCUGGGCCAAUACUGACGCUCAUGCACGAAAGCGUGGGGAGCAAACAGG